CGCGAUUGGAUGAACCUAGGUGGGAUUAGCUAGUAGGUGAGGUAAAGGCUCACCUAGGCGACGAUCCCUAGCUGUUCUGAGAGGAUGAUCAGCCACACUGGGACUGAGACACGGCCCAGACUCCUACGGGAGGCAGCAGUGGGGAAUAUUGCACAAUGGGGGAAACCCUGAUGCAGCCAUGCCGCGUGUGUGAAGAAGGCCUUCGGGUUGUAAAGCACUUUCAGCGAGGAGGAAAGGUUGGUAGUUAAUAACUGCCAGCUGUGACGUUACUCGCAGAAGAAGCACCGGCUAACUUCGUGCCAGCAGCCGCGGUAAUACGAGGGGUGCAAGCGUUAAUCGGAAUUACUGGGCGUAAAGCGUACGCAGGCGGUUUGUUAAGCCAGAUGUGAAAGCCCCGGGCUCAACCUGGGAAUUGCAUUUCGAACUGGUCAACUAGAGUCUUGUAGAGGGGGGUAGAAUUUCAGGUGUAGCGGUGAAAUGCGUAGAGAUCUGAAGGAAUACCGGUGGCGAAGGCGGCCCCCUGGACAAAGACUGACGCUCAGGUACGAAAGCGUGGGGAGCAAACAGGAUUAGACACCCUGGUAGUCCACGCCGUAAACGAUGUCUACUCGGAAUUUGGUGCCUU
rnacentral:rRNA from 1 species